rnacentral:ncRNA from 8 species
GUCUCUGUGGCGCAGUCGGUUAGCGUGUUCGGCUGUUAACCGGAAGGUUGGUGGUUCGGACCACCCAGGGACG